GAUAAGUUUAAUUCUUGUUUUAUUUUCUAUUAUUUGCAGACAUUCUAUGAGAGUUAUUGUAUAUUUAUUAUAAAGAUUGAUUUUUUAUAUUAAAGUCCUCAGUGUAGAGAAUUGGGUUAUUAAUGCAUGUUUAAAUUAGUUAUGCAAAAAACACAGGUUAAAUUUGUGCCAGCAGCCGCGGUUAGACUGGAAGUGUGGGUAGAAAAGUUUAAGUAAACAGUUAAAGUAUAAUUUGUAUUAAAUUUGGAGUUAUAAGUUAUGGGGUGAAAUCUUUCUUUUUGUAUUAAGAUUUACAUAAAUUGUUUUUAACACUGUGAAGGCUUAGGUACAAAAUAGGAUUAGAUACCCUAGUAUGCUUGGUUGAAAUUUGUAGUGCUUGGUUAGUAAAUAGUUAUGUUCUCGAAAUUUAAAGAAUUUGGCGGCUCUUCAGUCCAGUUAGAGGAACCUGUCCUAUAAACGAUAAACCACGAAUUAUCUUACUUUUUCUUGCUUAUUUCAAUUAGUAUACCGUCAUUAUUAGAUAAUCUUUAAAUAGAUUUGUCUUAAUAGAUUUUAAUUCUAAAAUAUUAGAUCAGGGUGCUGUCCAUGAAAAAGAAGAGAUGGGUUACAAUAGUAUUUAGCUAAAUGAAUAAUAAGGUGUAGUUUUUAUUUGAAGGUGGAUUUAAUAGUAGUAAGAGGUGUAAAGAGCCACUUCGAUAGUGGUUCUGAAGAGUGUACAAAUCGCCCGUCGCUCUCAUUAUCAAGGUGAGAUAAGUCGUAACAAGGUAGGUGUGUCGGAAGGUGCACCUAGUUGUAA
rnacentral:ncRNA from 1 species